GCCGAAUUUCCCGGGGUUUUCCCACAUAUGAGGCAUUUUAAAUUCGCAGAUUCAAAGGAAAACGUAAUUGUUGAAUUCCCUUUGGAGCAUAAAAUGGGCAUUGACGAACGUGCUGCAACAUCAAAUGAUGAGAUUAUCGUAAACUCGAGCAGGACCAUAAAGCAGGCCUAGAGCACAGGACCAGACUGAAGGAGCAGGAGCAGCUGGAGGAGCAGGAGCAGCAGGAGCAGCUGGAGGAUCAGGAGGAGCAGCAGCGGAGUGGCUGGAGGUCAGGGCCUCUUGUGGCCGUAAAAGCGCUUAAUAGUCCAUUAAAGGGAUUAAGAGGGGCACCAGCAGCCGGGGAUUCCAAGGAUUCCAAGGAGCAGGAGCCGAAAGAACAAAUUUCCGAAUCCUGUCCCCAUGUCAAUAGAUGGCCGGCGUUAAAAAUCAAACAGACGUAUGUCGUAUGGCGUAUGCGUAUUAUUGAAAACUUGCUGGAAAAGCGGCGCGGCGGUCGGAAAAGCGGUACAAUUCUUUAUUGCAGCCCAUUUGGCCGGGCUUAAUACGAGCAAAUUAAACUAAGCUCGGCAAAUUGCGUUUCGGUCACGUUCCGAGGCCAACGGAAAAAUGGCUCCAUUUCCAUUUUCCGUGGCAUUUUCUCCAUACUUUCCAUUCGCUGUAUAAGCACAUGCAUAGAACGACGGCCCCCGCUGAAAAUAAUGCAAUAAAAGCGGCAUAAAAAUAAAAACCAAAACAAUGCGCAAAAGGAAAGCAAACAGUAUCAGUAUCUUGGCGAUGGAAAAGUGGGGAAAAUGGCAAAACGCGCGCAAGAAAUCAUAAAUGUAAUUGAGAAUUUUAUAGGGGGAAAAGAUGGGUGCCACCCUCCCCUGCAUGUUGUGCAAAUAAAAGUUGAAAUUGUCGCAUAGAAAUUCUAAGAAUAAAGCGGCGAA